UACGGGGGGGGCAAGCGUUGUUCGGAAUUACUGGGCGUAAAGGGCUCGUAGGCGGCCAACUAAGUCGGAUGUGAAAUCCCCAGGCUUAACCUGGGAACUGCAUCCGAUACUGGAUGGCUUGAAUCCGGGAGAGGGAUGCAGAAUUCCAGGUGUAGCGGUGAAAUGCGUAGAUAUCUGGAGGAACACCGGUGGCGAAGGCGGCGACCUGGGUUGACAUUGACGCUGAGGCGCGAAAGCGUGGGGAGCAAACAGG
rnacentral:rRNA from 1 species